rnacentral:rRNA from 1 species
AGAACUAUGUCUGGGAGUGGCGAACUGCUCAGUAACACGUAGCUAACCUACCCUUAGGACAGAGAUAACCCCGGGAAACUGGGGCUAAUAUAUGAUAGGUGUGAUGUCCUGGAAUGGUAUCACGCCCAAUUGUGCUAACAGCAUGUUGUUAUCACGCCUAAGGAUGGGGCUGCGGCCGAUCAGGCAGUUGGUGAGGUAACGGCUCACCAAACCUUUGACCGGUACGGGCCAUGAGAGUGGUAGCCCGGAGAUGGGCACUGAGACAAGGGCCCAGGCCCUACGGGGCGCAGCAGGCGCGAAAUCUCCUCAAUGCACACACGUGCGAAGGGGUUACCUCGAGUGCUGUCUGAAGAAGGUGGCUUUUACAUUGUAUAACUAGCUAUGUGAAUAAGAGGGGGGCAAGACUGGUGUCAGCCGCCGCGGUAACACCAGCCCCUCGAGUGGUGGGGAUGAUUAUUUGGCCUAAAGCGUCCGUAGCCGGCUUUGUAAGUCUCCCGUUAAAUCCAGCGUCUCAAGCGUUGGUCUGCGGGAGAUACUGCUCAGCUAGAGGGUGGGAGAGGUCAGCGGUAUUCUGGGGGUAGGGGCGAAAUCCUUUGAUCCCCGGAGGACCACCAGUGGCGAAGGCUGCUGUCUAGAACACGCCUGACGGUCAGGGACGAAAGCUGGGGUAGCGAACCGGAUUAGAUACCCGGGUAGU